ensembl:snRNA
GUGUUGUAUGAAAGGAAAGAAGGUUAGCACUCCUCUUGAUAAGGACGGAAGAGGCCCUUGGGCCUCACAACAAGGACACCUUAGCUCUGUCAGAGAUUCCAACUCUUACU